GUUAACAAUAGAAAUGGAUGACUCUUAGUAGAAUUUGACUCUUAAUAUAAAUACCUCUACGAUACUUUUACCCCAUUUUUCAAUUAUUUAGAAAAACAAAAAUAGUGAGAUACUAUAAAUAAUUUCGUUGAUCAAACCAUAUUACCAUACCCAAGUUUGAAAACAUGGUACCUAUCAGCACCAUCAUCAUCUUCUUCCUCGACGCUUUUUCUUCCCUUCUAAGCCCUGCAACUUCUUUACGUGUCUCUUCUUCUUCUCCCAACUCGCCGGCUAUGUUGAUGCUCGGAUUCGAUUCCUUCAAUCCCCAUUUCUCAACCUUUCAACUGUUACAUAUCGGAUACGCAAUUUCAUGAGAGGUAAUUCAAUCUUUCAACAGUUGAAUCACACUUUUUUUGGGGGGUUUUACAGGGGAGAGAAAAGGGUUUACAAAUCAAAAAGUUUCAUAAUGUAUAUAUUGGUUUUGAUGAAUAUUUCUUCUCUAUUUCAUCAUUGAUGUAUAUUUUAUUGUACAUUUUUCCUUUUAGCUCUGAUUUAAGAAAUACUGCCGAUCUUACAUGCAGUUUCUUGUAUGCAAUUUGAUGUGUAAAUAGCUAUUUGUGCUUUUCUUGUUUUUGGCCAUAAACUUCAUCGUCUAUAUUCCUUAAAACGUGCCACCAUUACGAGUUGCGUGUAAAGACACCACAUAUGAGCUACCAGAGACAAGGCGUCGGGUAAAAGCAAAUCACAAGAUUAUGAUCGGAGAAAAGAUUAGAUCAAGCAAAAAGAAAAAUUCAAAGAAUUCUACAAAGAUUCAUUCGGUUCGUACUUGCUUUUUUACAAAGUACUACAAUGCGUACUUGAAUACUUGUAUUUUUGACUUUUUGAGAUGAGAUGAAGAGAGUGCUUAUUUUGUUCAGUUAGGAGCUUAUUUCUGUUCAAAUUUGUUAUAAUUCAGAUUUGUUGUUCAGUUUGCAAUUAAACUUUCAAAGGAAAAAGUUUUAAUGAAAGAGUGAUGUAGAUUAUAUAUAAAGGAGUGAGAUUGUAUCUUGGUGAGUAAGUUAGAUUUAGAUGAUAUUUUACUCUUCAAGUAAAACUCCGUUUACGUAAGAAGUUUCCAAACUAUGUAUGUAAA